rnacentral:rRNA from 1 species
AGCGAACGCUGGCGGCAGGCCUAACACAUGCAAGUCGAACGGCAGCACAGUAAGAGCUUGCUCUUACGUGAGGCGAGUGUCGGACCGUUGAGUAAUACACCGGAAUCUACUGUUUCGUGUGGGAUAAUGUAGGGAAUCUUACGCUAAUACAGCAUACGACCUACUUGUGAAAGCAGGCGAUUUUCGAACCUUGCGCGAUUGAAUUAGCCGAUGUCGGAUUAGCUAGUUGGCGGGUUAAAGGCCAACUACGGCGACGAUCCGUAGCUGGUCUGAGAGGAUGGUCAGCGACAUUGGAAGUGAGCCACGGUCCAGACUACUGCGGGAGGCAGCAGUGGGGAAUAUUAGACAAUGGUGGCGAGCAUGAUCCAGCGAUACCGCGUGGGUGAAGAAGGCGUUGUGGUUGUAAAGACAUUUUGUUGGGAGAGAAAAGCAGUUGGUUAAUACGCCGCUGUUAUGACGGUACCUAAAGAAUAAGCACCGGCUAACUUCGUG